rnacentral:rRNA from 1 species
GACAGAGGGUGCAAACGUUGUUCGGAAUUACUGGGCGUAAAGCGAGUGUAGGCGGUCUUCUAAGUCGGAUGUGAAAGCCCCGGGCUCAACCCGGGAAGUGCAUUGGAUACUGGGAAACUUGAAUACGGGAGAGGGUAGUGGAAUUCCUAGUGUAGGAGUGAAAUCCGUAGAUAUUAGGAGGAACACCGGUGGCGAAGGCGGCUACCUGGACCGAUAUUGACGCUGAGACGCGAAAGCGUGGGGAGCAAACAGG